rnacentral:misc_RNA from 1 species
AACGCACCUUGCGCUCCUUGGUAUUCCGAGGAGCAUGCCUGUUUGAGUGUCAUUAAAUUCUCAACCUUUUCAACUUGUGUUAGUUGGUCAGGCUUGGAUUGUGGGGGUUGCGGGCUUCUCGGAAGUCGGCUCUCCUUAAAUACAUUAGCAGAAACCUUUGUUGCAUUAGCUCCGGCGUGAUAAUUAUCUACGCCGUAUGUGAAACAACUCUUAUACGGUUUAGCUUUCUAAUAGUCCUUUGGGACAAACUCUUGACAAUUUGACCUCAAAUCAGGUAGGACUACCCGCUGAACUUAA